CCUUAACAUGCAUAAGAUGCAACUCAGUGUGUUUAAUGUUUGGUCUCCAAAGCUGAGUGAUGUGCUCCACAAGAAGACCUACUUUAUCAAAUACCCGAGACACAUCUUAGAGACUAAGGUGUGAAAGAAUGAAUGAGUGAAAAUGUUUUAAUAAAAGGAAACUAGAAAUCAAAUAUUUGUAUAAGGACAGAUUUGAGGUUUUUCUGUACUUUUAAUGAGCUAGAAAAUGCAUACUAUAAAUAGAAUAUACAAAUGAUUUUACACAAAUGAAGCAUUAAAAAUCACAAAUCUUAUAUUUGGUUAUCCACAGUCUAUAAAAUAAUGUUCCCAAAUUAUAUAGUUUAAAAUACACAAUGUUUCAAGUUGCAAGACAAAACCAGGGUAGUUUUGGCCCUAAAUCAUAGCUAACAUAAGUAGGAAUUAUAAUUAAUUUUAUAAUUGUGUUUAAAUUUUAAAUACUCUAGAAUCUGAAAAUAUUAAAUAUUAAAUAGAUGGAGGGAUCAAAUUAUCAAGUUUUUUAACAAAAUUGAGGUAAAAAUCUGCAUUAAAUUACACCAAGAAAAACAUUUCUAAAACAUUGUUUCCAUAACUCAUUAUAAAUAUUUCAUCUUCCGAAAGUACUCUUUGAUUACCUCUGGCCUUCUGGGUCUGGUAAUUAAGUUGACUUAAUAUUUGCACAUAGCUACUGAUUACUCAAUACAGGCCUAUCAGAUAAAACUAAAAUGCUGCAACUUAAUCAGAAUGAUGCAAUCUUGUCUUAUAUAAAUAUACAAAUCACAGUAUGCUGACACUAGAUAACUUCAGCUUUAUUUGCCAAAGGGGAUUUAGAAUAUACUACAAAAUUGUAUAUAAAAUAACCCUUUACAAGGAUUUACUAGGAUGACUGCAAAGAAAGGCAAAUUAAAUAUACCUGGUCCCAUAUAAGAAUUGUUGCCUAACCUCAUAUACUAAUUUGAAUAUGAAGACUCACUUUUUAUUUCUUAUUUUUUUGAAACAGGGUCUCGCUCUGUCACCCAGGCUGGAGUGCAGUGGUGUGAUCUCAGCUCACUGCAACCUCUGCCUCUUGGGUUCAAGCGAUUCUCCUACCUCAGCCUCACAAGUAGCUGGGACUACAGGCGUGCACCACCAUGCCUGGCUAAUUUUUUGUAUUUUUAGUAGAGAAGGGGUUUCUCCAUGUUGGUCACACUGGUUUUGAACUCCUAAUCUCAGGUGAUCCACCCGCCUCGGACUCCCAAAGUGCUGGGAUUACAGGUGUGAGCCACCGCACCUGGCCUGAAUAUAAAGACUCAUUUUAAAUUAUACUAGUUGAACCUUUAUACUACAAUGUAUCCUGGCACUUAUUUUUUUUAAACCAUUAUCAGAUAUUUCAUGUUCUACUAGUAAAGGGAAUUCGCAUUUUCAAUGUCCUGUCUGCAUUCCUCCUAGCCUCUCUCUGCUCAGGUUUUGGAAAAUAGAUCUUUCAAAUGCAAUUGCAGUAUCCAAGGAAAUUCCUCCCACCCAUGCCACCAGUGCUCAUCCUGUGGGCACCCCACAGUCAGCAGUUUAAGACCAUUCUGGAUGAAUGCAAAUGCUUGAUUCAAUUUUCCCAAAUCCCAAUCAACUAGCUACAGUUUUUAUUGUAUGCAAUCUUCCCAACAUUGCAGUAAAGCAGUCUAGAUGGCUGGGGAAAGGUAAAAGAACCCCGGUUGUGAUUAUUUUUUUCUAACAAAAUGGAAUUAAAAGAUGAGAAAACCUCGUAGUAUUUUAGUCUGGUACUUUUAGCAUCCCCAACUUUUAAGAUUAUAAAUUCACAAUAGUGAACACCCUAGUGACAACUUUUAAAUAAAAUACUGGAUAGCUGGGCGCAGUGGCUCACACCCGUAAUCCCAGCACUUUGGGAGGCCGAGGCGUGUAGAUCACUUGAGGUCAAGAGUUCAAGACCAACCUGGCCAACAUGGUAAAACCUCCUCUCUACUAUAAAUACAAAAAAUUAGCUGGGCGUGGUGGUGCAUGUCUGUAAUCCCAGCUAUUCGGGAGGCUGAGGCAGGAGAAUCACUUGAACCCAGGAGGCAGAGGUUAGAGUGAGCCGAGAUCGUGCCACUGCACUUCAGCCUGGGCAAUGGAGUGAGACUCUGUCUCAAAAAAAAUAAAAAAUAAAAAAUAAAAUACUGCAUAAUUACAUGCUAUAGUAAAUUAAUCAUACACUCAAAAUUUUAGCUUGGAUUUGUUUUGCAACUGAUUUGAUGCUGUCUGAAAAUCAAGAUCAAGCAGGUGAUGAAAACUAUACCUUUUGAACAUGCAUUAGGUAACCAGGGGGCAACAGAGUAGGGACUAAUAAGGCCAGCAACUCAGGGAAAUUAGCCUAUUCAUCUGAUAUAUUUGGCCUCCAUAAAACUGCCAUGGAUUCCAACUGUACUCAAAUAUAAUACAACUUCUUCAAUGCUGCUUUAUAAAUCUGACUGAAAACCUUAUUUAAGGAGUCAAGAUGCUGAACACCCUAACAAAAGCAAAAACAAAAUUACGGCCUAUGUGGUGUUUGGCAUUGUCUCUGGAACUACAAAACUACGGCCUAUGUGGUGUCACUGUUAUUACCACUCUUUACAAAGCACUAAGCACACACAGGUGUUUGGCAUUGUCUCUGGAACUACAAAAUUAAACUUUUAGAAUCACAGCAUUUUACACCUGAGAGGAAUCUUAAAAGAAGGCCUUCAGGUGAUGCUGAUGCUGUCUGAAAGCCACUGCUCUCCAGCAUGUGGUCUCUGAAACUUUACUUAGGAGUAUGCAUAUUAAAAUAUAUAUAUAACUUAACACUAUGCUACUACAAAGGGCAAAAUAAUUCACUUUAUUGUACUUUAUUUUAGAAUAAUUAAGACAAGGAUAGGCUUCAAUGAAAUUUUGCUUUGAUGUUACAUGGUCUGACUGACACUGGAUUUCUUCAUAAGAAAAAUAAAUGUGAAAGCUAUUCCAAGUAAGCAAAUGGUGGCAAAAACAAUCUAAAGAAUUGGUUUUAGCCAGGCAUGGUGGCUCAUGCCUGUAAUCCCAGCACUUUGGGAGGCCAGGGCGGGCAGAUUACUUGAGCUCAGGAGUUCAAGAGCAGCCUGGCCAACAUGGUGAAACCCCAUCUCUACUAAAAACACAAAAAUUAGGCAAUAUAGCAAGACCCCAUCUCUACCAAAAAUACAAAAAAACUAAUCAGGAAUGGGGGCACAUGCCAGUAGUCCCAACUACUCAGGAGACUGAGGUGGGAGGAUGGCUUGAGCUUGGGAGGUUGCAGUGAGCCAAGAUCCUGCCACUGCACUCCAGCCUGGGUGACAGAGUGAGACCCCAUCUCAAAAAAAAAAAAAGAAUUUCAUCUCAUGUCAAAAAUAAGACUCUUGGACAGAAAUCUUCUGCCUGCCUUCCAAGGACCCACUGAAAUUAAUGGAUACUCUCACAUGACUGACUUUAUUAUUAAAUACUUGCUGUAAUCACAACUAGGCAUAGGAAAAUCAAGUAGAGAAAUACUGAAUGCCUAGCAUACAACGAUCUAAGUGAAAGUUAAUAAAAGUAGCUCUUCAGAAAGACAUCUCAUGUAAAAUUAAAUUUAAAACUAAAAAUUUCAUGAAGUGACCUGUUAAGAGUUUCAAUUUAGAAGCUUUACUUUUCUAAUUUUAAAAUAUCAUGAAUGAAAUGGUGUCUUCAUCUAGGUGCUUCUCCAUCAAAAUCCCUAGCUCAAAAAUAAAAAUCAUGUUUGUGUCACCCCAGAUUCAAAAUGCUGUUAUUGGAAAUGUUACCAUUUCACAUGAACAUUCCAGUAAAUAUGCACAUAGAGGGUACUCAUUACUUUUGGUUGGUAAUUUUUCCUUAAAUAUAUUUCAAUGAUUUCAUUGUUUGACAUUUUCAUAGUUAACGUAUACUGAAUACAGAAAAUUUUGUAGGAAAACACUAUUUUUUAAAUGUAGUAACAUUAAAAUAUUAAAAUAUCCCGUUUAUUAAAGGCUCUUAAGAUUUAAAGAAAAAUUUCCUGUGCACAUACAAUGUACCUAUGAAAUACUGUAUUAUUAGUUAUUGUACAGGCAAAUGAGGCUGUUACUAUAAAAAAAAUGUGGUGUCUAAAAAUUGCAAGUCUAUGUGAAAAAUCAACCUCAAUUUAUCUAAAUGGGAUUUGGGGGACACGGCAGACUAUUAAAAUAGAACUCAAACUUCAAAUUCUGUAAACUGAACAUCUCAUUAAUGCCACUUCACCAUUUAAAAAAGUCAGCACACAAUGUUAGCUAUGUAAGUUUAUCUGCAGAUGUUACAGGUAAUUAUUUCUGUUAACUCCUCCUAAAAUAUUAUUUAGUAAUAAAGAAUAUUUCAAAAGGAGAGUAGGUAGAAACGAAGAUCAUAACUAUACUUACUUAAUAUGAAAAUGACAUUUCAUUUAUUUGCUAAUAUGUGGAAAAAAAUUUUCUAAUUAAUUCCUCCUUUAUCCUUCUUUAAAAACAUUUUAUUUCUUCAACCAGCACACUGAGGAUUAGUGCUAUGGGUAUUACCACAGUGCCCUGUGAAAAGACUUGGCUUCCAGAGAAGUCAUACCUUGCAUACCCUGGAGUCAUACCUCAAAUUGGCUCUGCAUGAUUGAUUUUACAGCGGGCAUUAAAAUUCUUCUGAAACAAGGCUGUGUACCUUUGAGAACAUUCACAUUUAACCUUGUGAGCUCACUUCUACAAGAACAAUGAACUUAUUUGUCAGCUGCCAGGGGGAAAAUCAGCUUAAUGUAAAGAAUUAAUUAAAUCAGGUUGACAGAAGCCAAUAUCUCAAUGUUUUUAAAUUAAAAUUUAUUUAAAGGAAUAAGUAUGGGUGCAUUACAUAAACCUAAUGGUUCUUCUAAGCUUCAAAAAGCAUUCAUUUCAAAAGUAUUCACUUUUUUUUUUUUUGAGACGGAGUCUCGCUGUCGCCCAGGCUGGAGUGCAGGGGCACGAUCUCGGCUCACUGCAGGCUCCGCCUCCCGGGUUCACGCCAUUCUGCUGCCUCAGCCUCCCGAGCAGCUGGGACUACAGGCGCCGCCACCACGCCCGGCUAAUUCUUUGUAUUUUUAGUAGAGACGGGGUUUCACUGUGUUAACCAGGAUGGUCUCGAUCUCCUGACCUCGUGAUCCGCCCGCCUCGGCCUCCCAAAGUGCUGGGACUACAGGCGUGAGCCACCACGCCCGGCCCAAAAGCAUUUACUGUUAAGGCUGCCUCAUUUUUCAGCUUUGUUGUAGUUGAGAUUCUGAUGUUCACCUAACAAAGUCCCUGACAAAACAGACUUCCUUCAAUCCAGGUCAUAAUUUGAAACGUUAUACAAUAAUGAGAUUUAAGUGAUGAAUGGAAAGAAAAGAAGGAGACUGAAAAGAUAUCAGAAAUUUCUAUUUGUUUUUAGAUUCAGAAAAAUAUAAUUACAGGCCAACAUGGGUCUGACAGAGAGGAAGGACGUCAGCAGUUAC
rnacentral:lncRNA from 1 species